GGCGGUAAGAGCAAGAAGCGCUCCGAGGGCAAGGGCUACACAUCACCCACCACUUCGAGUCGAAGCGGCGAUCGCUCUCUGAACAGUCCCUCACAUCAGAUCUACUUGCGGCGUCAACGUCACGGAGACAACCUCACCUACUGACGAGAAGC
rnacentral:ribozyme from 1 species